rnacentral:rRNA from 1 species
GGGAUUGCCUUAGUAACGGCGAGUGAAGCGGCAACAGCUCAAAUUUGAAAUCUGGCUCUUUCAGAGUCCGAGUUGUAAUUUGCAGAGGGCGCUUUGGCUUUGGCAGCGGUCCAAGUUCCUUGGAACAGGACGUCACAGAGGGUGAGAAUCCCGUACGUGGUCGCUAGCUAUUGCCGUGUAAAGCCCCUUCGACGAGUCGAGUUGUUUGGGAAUGCAGCUCUAAAUGGGAGGUAAAUUUCUUCUAAAGCUAAAUAUUGGCCAGAGACCGAUAGCGCACAAGUAGAGUGAUCGAAAGAUGAAAAGCACUUUGGAAAGAGAGUCAAACAGCACGUGAAAUUGUUGAAAGGGAAGCGCUUGCAGCCAGACUUGCUUGCAGUUGCUCAUCCGGGCUUUUGCCCGGUGCACUCUUCUGCAGGCAGGCCAGCAUCAGUUUGGGCGGUGGGAUAAAGGUCUCUGACACGUUCCUUCCUUCGGGUUGGCCAUAUAGGGGAGACGUCAUACCACCAGCCUGGACUGAGGUCCGCGCAUCUGCUAGGAUGCUGGCGUAAUGGCUGUAAGCGGCCCGUCUUGAAACACGGACCAAGGAGUCUAACAUCUAUGCGAGUGUUUGGGUGUCAAGCCCGAGCGCGUAAUGAAAGUGAACGGAGGUGGGAACCCGCAAGGGCGCACCAUCGACCGAUCCUGAAGUUUACGGAAGGAUUUGAGUAAGAGCAUGGCUGUUGGGACCCGAAAGAUGGUGAACUAUGCUUGAAUAGGGUGAAGCCAGAGGAAACUCUGGUGGAGGCUCGCAGCGGUUCUGACGUGCAAAUCGAUCGUCAAAUUUGGGCAUAGGGGCGAAAGACUAAUC